UUUCUGUUAGGAGCUUUACCAAAACCCCCAAAUUAGAACCCUAGAUUUGCAAUGUCGGAGAUUUCAACGACCUCAAGUGGCACAAGUCAGUACUGCGUUGAUGGGACAAAGAUAAUUCGUCAGACUUCAUGGACAGAUUUGAACCCAGUAAAAAGGUUCGAUGCUUGUGAUAAAAAUUGGGUAAGUUAUUAUUUGGGUUGCAAAAGUUGUUCUUUUCCAUAAUUGCUUGUUGAGGUUUGAAAUUGAGUAAGAUUUUAUUUCCAGAAUAGCAUAAGAGGUAUGUAUUUUUUCGAGUGGGUGAAAAUGAAACUUGUCCAAGAGGAAAACAAGUGGUCCCUGGUUUGCUUAGAAGACUUAGAGUAAUGGAGGAGGAAGGUAGAGAAAGGAAGAACAAUUGAGAUCUGUGGAAGCAAAAAAGAAAGAACUGCAAUACAAAUUGAAAGAAAUGGUUCAGGAAAAAAAAAAAAAGGGGUUUUGGAAUGGGCUCAUUGGCAAAGACAAUUGAUAAUGUGGGUUUCCUUGAUUUUUUGUUGGGGUUUGUUUAUAACAUUUGUGAUGAGUGGGAAGUUUUAAUUGUUAUGUUAUGGGGUUUGUUUCUUUGAAUGUAAUGGUGAAGACUUCUGUUUCAAUUGUAGAAUGA
rnacentral:lncRNA from 1 species